GCUGUGUAGGUGUAAACUUUUUUAUCUUGGUUUAGGCUAUCUCGGUAUGUGGUAACUUGUGGGGGCAUGAACAAGUGGUCUUUUUGUGUUUUUGGUGUAAAUAAUUUUUCAAAUAUUUUAUUCAUAUUCAUAUUCUGGUAUCUUGGUCGACUAACUCCUUUGCUUGUACCUGCAGAAGUAGAUUGAUAAAUGUUAUGGGUUUUAUGGAGUGUCCCAACGUCUCCUUCUAGCUCUGGAACUUUAAUGUCUUUCGAUCGACAUAGCUCUGCACACUGCUGAGUUAGCUGAUUUGUAGCUAUAGACUUCAGUUUAUCUUCAUUAGUCUUUAGCUUUUCUAUCUCAUUACCCAU
rnacentral:lncRNA from 1 species